rnacentral:misc_RNA from 1 species
GACUUUUAGGCAAUCCCUUAUACAAAGCCUUGUACCGACAAGCUGUGCUCUGUUACAACCGUGCUCUCAGCACAGCACUGUGGACUGUGUCCGGUUUGUCCCGUUAUAAAUAGACAUCCCGAAUUACACCUCAUAGUAUGAAGUGCGUAAACAGAAAGAGCAAUGGAUACCGCGCGGAUGAUUCGUUCGUCCCUUGCGUUUCUGCUUGUCCUGGAUAUGUCUUGUAAAGUUGUUGUGCAGUCUCCACCCCGCUGGCAGGGUACUCCAUGAAGGUGUGUAUAAAUGGUGAACACAGACAAGCAGGUCGGUAUAAUUCACCACCGAGGCAUCCAUUGAUGAGGUCAGCUCCAGCAAAUGUCCAACAGCAUCCGAGACUUCAAGAAGUGUCUUCUGCCCACUGGCCUUACUUCUUCCCUGGCCCGAUUCCUCAAAGUAGUGACAAACUUGACAGUCCUGAGUCUGAUCUCUAGAAACAGUGUUACGACUGGAGACCGAUGAACUUGUUCUUCUUGGGACGACGACACUUCUCAAUUGUACAACAGAUGGAGAAUCAUUUCAAAAAGUGACAAUAACUAUAAAAAAGGACCCGAAUCUUACCGUGUUUACCUGUCCAACAUAUAACACAUGUGUUACAAAUUUUCCUGGAUAUUUUUACAAGGAAAGUCUGUCGACUCCCAACAAAAUUGUUGUUGGCAUUACCGCUGUCACAAUGGAUGAUAUUGCCUGGACGUGUCAAUACGAGUUUGAGAAUGCCCCAAAAGCACAGAAGAAUCUCACCAUUUCUGAUCCAGAAACAGUGUUACGACUGGAGACCGAUGAACUUGUUCUUCUUGGGACGACGACACUUCUCAAUUGUACAACAGAUGGAGAAUCAUUUCAAAAAGUGACAAUAACUAUAAAAAAGGACCCGAAUCUUACCGUGUUUACCUGUCCAACAUAUAACACAUGUGUGACAAAUUUUCCUGGAUAUUUUUACAAGGAAAGUCUGUCGACUCCCAACAAAAUUGUUGUUGGCAUUACCGCUGUCACAAUGGAUGAUAUUGCCUGGACGUGUCAAUACGAGUUUGAGAAUGCCCCAAAAGCACAGAAGAAUCUCACCAUUUCUGAUCCAGGAACAUCUGGUGGUUAUUGUAUUCAAGCUGGAUCACUGCACUUGAUGGCAUGGCUCGGUUACUUCUUCAUUCUUGCUACUUCCCCAUGACGUUCACGGGCGGAUCUAGGAAUUUAGAAGAAGGCGGUACCCCUUGAUACAACAACGAUGAAGUGUCAUUCUAUCUUUGGAUUUGACGAAAGGACGUUACCCAUAGAUACAAACACGAUGGAGUGUCAUUCUGUCAAUGGUCGUAUUCAAAACACAUAUGAUCGGACAAGGCACUUGUACAAAAUAUUUUCAAAAGUUUGCCAAAUAUUACUCAGAAUUAAAUAUCAUGUAUAAUAUAUUUAUAAUUUUGUUCAACACAAAGUAAGUAUACAGUCAUGCAGCUUGUGUCCAAAUAUUAUUGUAUUGUAUUCAUAUUUAGAAAGCCUUUUCAGUCCUACUAUUGUCAUCGACUGCACGGAUUAUCCUGACGCUCUGUGUCAUUUGUCAAGACGUAGGUUUUUUUUAUAAAUUCUUUUGGCGGUGUGGUUAAAUCGUUCGCUCGUCACGCCGAAGAGGUGAGGUGAAAUGGGGUUUAACGUCGCGUCCAAGAU